AUUGAACGCUGGCGGCAGGCCUAACACAUGCAAGUCGAACGAGUGGCGGACGGGUGAGUAAUGUCUGGGAAACUGCCCGAUGGCGGGGGAUAACUACUGGAAACGGUAGCUAAUACCGCAUACCAUCGGAUUGGCCCAAAUGGGAUUAGCUCGUAGGUGGGGUAAGGGCUCACCGAGGCGACGAUCCCUAGCUGGUCUGAGAGGAUGACCAGCAACACUGGAACUGAGACAAGGUCCAGACUCCGAAGGGAGGCAGCAGUGGGGAAUAUUGCACAAUGGGCGCAAGCCGGAUGCAGCCAUGCCGCGUGUAUGAAGAAGGCCUUCGGGUUGUAAAGUACUUUCAGCGAGGAGGCGUUACUCGCAGAAGAAGCCCCGGCUAACUCCGUGCCAGCCGCCGCGGUAAUUC
rnacentral:rRNA from 1 species